UAAUACGUAGGUGGCAAGCGUUGUCCGGAUUUAUUGGGCGUAAAGGGAGCGCAGGCGGUGAUUUAAGUCUGAUGUGAAAGCCCACGGCUCAACCGUGGAAGGUCAUUGGAAACUGGAUCACUUGAAUAUAGAAGAGGAAAGUGGAAUUCCAUGUGUAGCGGUGAAAUGCGUAGAUAUAUGGAGGAACACCAGUGGCGAAGGCGACUUUCUGGUCUAUUAUUGACGCUGAGGCUCGAAAGCAUGGGUAGCAAACAGG
rnacentral:rRNA from 1 species